AGCAGGUGGGAAAAAAAACCAAAGGGUUCAACCGGAUCAACCUUACAGAUAUAUCAUUGAAUGACAAAAUACACUGCAACACAAACAGGAAGAGAGAAAAUUUAUAAGAGAUAAAAACCUUGGAGUGAGAGGGAGAUCCAGGAGAACGAUCAAUGUAAGCACUCCACUGCUGGUCCUUGAAUACGGGGUCCUUAUAGCAUAUCUCAUUGCACUCCUCCAAGCCUAAGGAUUAAAUAAUACUACCGAUAAAUGCUCAGAAUCAACUAGAAAAUCUAAAAUAGGGUUCCUUAACAACAAAUAUUUUAAGUAAUUGAACCAAGCAAAGCU
rnacentral:lncRNA from 1 species